rnacentral:rRNA from 1 species
GUGUCAGCCGCCGCGGUAAUACAGAGGGUGCGAGCGUUAAUCGGAAUUACUGGGCGUAAAGCGCGCGUAGGCGGCUUUGCAAGUCGAGUGUGAAAUCCCCGGGCUUAACCCGGGAACUGCAUUCGAGACUGCAUAGCUAGAGUAUGGGAGAGGGAAGUGGAAUUUCAGGUGUAGCGGUGAAAUGCGUAGAUAUCUGAAGGAACAUCAGUGGCGAAAGCGACUUCCUGGACCAAUACUGACGCUCAUGUGCGAAAGCGUGGGGAGCAAACAGGAUUAGAAACCCUAGUAGUCC